rnacentral:rRNA from 1 species
UGGCGGCGAUAGCGCGGUGGUCCCACCUGACCCCAUGCCGAACUCAGAAGUGAAACGCCGUAGCGCCGAUGGUAGUGUGGGGGUCUCCCCAUGUGAGAGUAGGGAACUGCCAGGCA